rnacentral:lncRNA from 1 species
GUGAGAAUGUGGUGUGAGCUUCAUUUUCUUUAAAAGUUCCAAACUACAAUCAGAAGUAAUUUACAUAAAAGACAGCAGGUAAGAACAUUUUGCAGUAUAUUUUUCCUUCAUACAGGAAGAGAAAGAAAGAAGGAAAGAAAAAAAAAACAUCAAAGAGUUUAUGAGGUCGUUUCUGAAACAAAGUCGAACAUUAAAAAACAGCCCUUGGCUUUUGAUGGAAAAUCACUUAAACUUAUCCAGGUUCCAUGGAAUGCAUUUAAGGCAAUAUAGCAGAUGGAGUGUUGAGUAACAUCUUGAGUUAAUUUAUUUUUGAAGUACACAAUGAGUUUUUAUGAUAUAAUUGAAUUAGAAAAUCAGAGCGAAUAUCUUUCUCUUGUUAUUUUAUACUUACCAUGGAAAAAGUAUCAGACUAUUUGUGGAAUUAUUUUCAUAGUAUGUAGGCUCUGCAAAUACUUAACAUCAGGCAUAUAAUUUAAAAAGUGGUUUUUUAAAAGUUUAAUUCGGAGAAGAUAUGAAGACAGUGUAUACAGCUGUUACUUUGCUGUUUUUGAGUCAACCAGGUUUCUGGCAUUGAGAAAGGUCUUAGUUGAUGUUAUGGUAGAAUUUGAAUUUCUUAUUGUAUUUUUAUAUUAAAUAGUAAAGCAGCUUGAAUUUUUCAUGAGCAAGUAAAAGUAAAUCUUUAUUUUCCAGCUUCUGCUGUAAAGACAGGGAACAGAAAUUUAAGUUAAAAGUUAACUACUUGUAGUAAUAAAAUUAGCUAUGUGUAUGUACGUUGGGGGAGGUGCUUAAGAUCCCUGGGGUGUCUACUUUUACUGUAAUUCUUGAUAGGAAAAAUCUGGGCUAAUAAUAUAAAUAAGGUGAUAUCAUAUUGAUAAUCAUUUACUCAUGAUUUGCCUUAAUAUACUUUUUUCUAUAGUUUUGUUCAAAAAACCUUUAUAAUUCGAGAAAGCCAAGUAAUAGUGACCAAGCAUAUCUUGCAAAAUGCUUUUCUCCAAAUUCUAAUUCCUUCUUCUAUUGCAUUUAGAAAACCCGAAAAUGAUAUUUUUUGAAUAAAUUACGUUAAAAUCCUGUAAUCUGUUUGAAGAAUCUUGGAAGGCGAAAGAGAAACUGUGAAAGAAAGAACAUUCAUUGCUCUUUUUUUGCCAGUUAUGUUUUAAUAUCUUCUAAGAAGAGACUUCGUAGCAAAAACCCUGGAUGUUCAUUGUUCUUUAUCUGGAGUCCAAUUUUCUAUUGGAUUUCCAAGGUCAUAAGGCUCUUAUUCGUGUAUAGAAGUUAUUGUACGACAUUGUUCACGCAAAGGCAUCCAUCAUAACCUACUCGGUAGAUCUGAGGAUGACAGGUAACUUAUCAGCAUACACUUGACUUUCCUUCCGCUGUUGCCGCCUGGCAGCCUCUGUAUACUCUUUACUGUGCAGGUGUUUUCUUUUGGCAGACGUGUUCAGAUAAUAGAGCAAUCCAAUCAAAACAUCAGUGAGACUCCCUGACAGAACAUU